rnacentral:rRNA from 1 species
UACAGGGGGUGCAAACGUUGCUCGGAAUCAUUGGGCGUAAAGCGCGCGUAGGCGGCCGCUUAAGUCGGAUGUGAAAGCCCCUGGCUCAACUGGGGAAGUGCACCCGAAACUGAGUGGCUUGAGUACUAAAGAGGGUCGCGGAAUUCCCGGUGUAGAGGUGAAAUUCGUAGAUAUCGGGAGGAACACCGGUGGCGAAGGCGGCGACCUGGGUAGAUACUGACGCUGAGGCGCGAAAGCGUGGGGAGCAAACAGG